GGCCCAUCACUGCAUCCCAGCCCAGUGCGUGACUGUGGUAGGUGGUUAAUGGCAGCACGCCCUGGACUUCCCUGCAUUGCAGGCUGACCUGGGGCUGGACAGCAGGGAGCGGAGAAAAUGGACUCCCUUCUCCUGGAGACAAGAAUGCCAGCCACCAGCCAGGGGUGCCAGUUUGCAGCCUAUUGGAGGAAAACAGCAUCAAGCCUGCACAGCUGGCCCUUUGGACUCUGGGAUGCCAACCUCUGCACAGUAUCUGGGCACAGAGAAACCUGGGGCUGAGGAAGGGCCCCAAGCCAGGGCCCGGGAAAUAGACUCCUGCUUGCGGUGUUCGCAGCAGAGGCAUCGCUUGUGGAGCCACGCCUGUGUCUGCCUGGGACAGAGCUCCUAGACAUGUGCGCAGGGCUGAAAAAUUAUAUUUGCACCUGAGUCUCUCAAAAUGUAACAGCCUGAUUACUUCUGGACGGUGUGCUACAGGUGGCUUUAAUGUUUCUAUUUACUCAUCUGUAUUUCUUACUCUGUACAACUGAACCAUGUUCCUUUUAUCUGUGUACAUUUUUAAUAAAAGAAAGUCACUAAUGACCCAACCUUCCAUCUCCAGUAGUCCUGCUGAGGGAGCCAGACGGGUUGUGCCUGCUGUAUGUCGUGGACACAGUGGCCCUUGUUCUGGGAUCUUUAGCCCGGGCUG